GAUGAAGAACGUAGCGAAAUGCGAUAAGUAAUGUGAAUUGCAGAAUUCAGUGAAUCAUCGAAUCUUUGAACGCACAUUGCGCCCGCCAGUAUUCUGGCGGGCAUGCCUGUUCGAGCGUCAUUUCAACCAUCAAGCCCCCGGCUUGUGUUGGGGACCUGCGGCUGCCGCAGGCCCUGAAAACCAGUGGCGGGCUCGCUGUCACACCGAGCGUAGUAGAUUUUCAUCUCGCUCAGGGCGUGCUGCGGGUUCCGGCCGUAAAAAGCCUUAUUUACCCAAGGUUGACCUCGGAUCAGGUAGGAAGACCCGCUGAACUUAAGCAUAUCAUAAGCGGAGGA
rnacentral:misc_RNA from 1 species